rnacentral:rRNA from 1 species
GACGUAGGGCGCGAGCGUUGUCCGGAUUUAUUGGGCGUAAAGAGCUCGUAGGCGGCUCGUUGCGUCAACCGUGAAAACCCGGGGCUUAACUUCGGGCUUGCGGUUGAUACGGGCGGGCUGGAGUUCGGUAGGGGAGACUGGAAUUCCUGGUGUAGCGGUGAAAUGCGCAGAUAUCAGGAGGAACACCGGUGGCGAAGGCGGCAUCCUGGACCGGCAUUGACGCUGAGGAGCGAAAGCUAGGGGAGCAAACGGG